GGGUCGAUGCCCGAGUGGUUAAUGGGGACGGACUGUAAAUCCGUUGGCGGUGCCUACACUGGUUCGAAUCCAGUUCGACCCA
rnacentral:tRNA from 2 species